rnacentral:rRNA from 1 species
GAUGAACGCUGGCGGCGUGCCUAAUACAUGCAAGUCGAACGCGAGCACUUGUGCUCGAGUGGACGAACGGGUGAGUAAUACGAUAAGGUAACCUGCCCUAGACAGGGGAUAACUAUUGGAAACGAUAGCUAAGACCGCAUAGGUACGGACACUGCAUGGUCUGGUGUGAAAAACUCCGGUGGUAUAAGAUGGACCCGCGUCUGAUUAGCUGGUUGGUGGGUAACGGCCCACCAAGGCGACGAUCAGUAGCCGGCCUGAGAGGGUGAACGGCCACAUUGGGACUGAGACACGGCCCAG